ensembl:lncRNA
CUAACAUCUGUUGCCAAUCUUUUUUUUUUCUUCUCCUCAAAGCCCCCCAGUACAUAGUUGUAUAUUCUAGUUGUAGGUCCUUCUGGCUCUGCUAUGUGGGAUGCUUCCUCAGCAUGGCCUGAUGAGCAGUGCUAGGUCUGUGCCCAGGAUCCCAACCGGCGAAACCCUGGACCACCGCCAAAGUGGAAAGCAUGAACUUAAGCACUCAGCCACCGGGCCGGUCACAGUAAUUGUCAGUCUUCACAGCACACCUGUGACAAUUGAAUGUAGAUAGAUAAAGUCUAAGGACAAAAGAAACCCCAAGGAACCGUAGAGCAGUGCACUUUCUGAGCCUCCUAACCUUGGCUUACUCUUUGAAAAUUUGAGAUAUUACAUUCUUCUCACUGUGAUCGUGAACAUUAAAUGAUAGAAAAUAAAUAAAAUAUUAUGGAACAAAGUAAAAGAAGAGCAGGGUAAGGAGGAUGGGGAAUGCUGACUUGGCAGUGGGCAGGAUUGCAUGGAGUAGUUAGCAUAGGGCUCUUUGGGGCCCCGGAAGUGGGACACUCAGAUCUCCCUUCAAGAUAACCUGCUGACAGCCUUCAGCUUGCAUGCCUUUGGGUACAGCAUCCAUCCCAAAGUGAACGCUCUCUCAAUAGUUCCAAGCCACUGACUAAGCAUAGUGAGAGUACUAAAGUCAGAGUAUUUUUUGCCCAACAUGGGAUGCCUCUAAGAAGAAAUCUUUCCUCUGGGCUUCCCAUCACCCUGGCCAAGACUUUCUCAGAGCUGCACUGCCAUCUGAGGAUCAUCCUACCCAGUCCUCCCAUCUUAUAUGUCUAAUUCCAUGUUGGUGUCUGAUUUUGCGGGGACCUGAACUGACACAGCCUCACAGAGAAGGUGACAUUUGAAAAAAAGCCUUGAAGGAGGUAAUAGAAUUAGCCACGAAGAUUACCUGAGGGCGGAGCAUUCCAGGCAGAAGAGAGAGCCCGGGACGUCCCUGUGUCAGGAAGGAGGGUGCCUGGCAUGUUCCAGGAGCAAAAGGAAGCCACCAGCCUGGAGCAGAGAGAACGGGGGAAAGUUGUAGGAGAGGAAAGCCAAGAAGCUGGAAUGUACACGUGGUAGUGGUCAAGCCAAAUCAACCAUCUAGAUGAAGACAAUCUUCUAGUGUUGAUGGGAAGAAAUAAGACAAAAGGAACUCAGGUCCCUGGGUAUCUCCAUGAACCAGAACCACCCACUCACCUUGAACCCCACAUCUGCCGCCGAGCUGUUACAAGGGAGAAAAAUAAACUCUCUAUAAUUUGAGCCACUAAUUUUGAGUGGGGGAGGGACCUCUUACAACAAAUAAUCAUCUUUUUUAAAUUAGUAUAUUUAAAAAAUUAAGAUACUCAUAAAUUUUACUAGUCAGAGUAAAUCUACAUAAACUAACAAACGGACCAGUCUAUAUACUAGAAUAAUGAGAGGACUAUGGAUGAGAUUGAAUUCAGCACAUGGCAGAAAAUGUGUAGACAGUUUGGUGAUUUUAUUGUUUUAAAAGGGCCUAGCAUUAAAAACAUCCCCUAAUGGGUAAGGAUGGAGUUUUCUUUGAAGGGAGCUGAUGUUUCUGUUGUUAAUCAAAAUGGAUAAUGUUUCGUUUGUCAAGAACUUAGAUGACUUUUUGGAUGGAGAAAUGAGAUGUUUCCUUUUCCCCUUUCCCAUACAUGUAAGAGUUGAGUCUAGACUUGGAGACAGAGAGAAGUGUGCAGCUAUGCCAGCUGGAGAGCAGGUCUGGAGAGCUCAUCCUGGCCACACAAAGGUCUUGUGUUGGUGGCAGCAGUCAGUGGGAGCCCAUUUCCUCUGGAGCACCCUUCAGCCUCCCAGGAGCACUCCUAGUCCCAUCUCCACAAACAAGAGUGAGAGCAAUUAUUUAGAGGCGAGGAGGGCACAGUUCUCUCAUGCUUCAGAUUUGAGGAAUAGAGGAGUCACAGAUGACCGGGCAUGGUGGCAAGACCCAGCCAGAGUGGAAGAAUCUGAGAACUGAGUUCAGAGGCACAUGUAAUUCAGCACCCUGAGGAGCCUUCAGAAACCGCUGCAUCACCCUGGGGACUGAAUUCAGGGAACUGGGGGGGGGGGGGGGGGGGGG